CCUGCAGGCGUACAACUAACAAGCUGGGUGCAGAUAAGAGACUACAGCUCCCCGCAUCCCAAGCAAAGGUCCCUCCUCUACGGAGCCCCUCCACGCGUCCACUGCGGUUCCGCCGUGCCAAGGGGAGCUUGGCUGUUCACGGGCCUCACCUGCUAGCGAGAAGAUAGCUUGGCCGGGCGGCUGAUCUCACCUUGUAAUUCUGACACUGUGUCUCCCGGGCUUGUCGGCUUCAUGACUUGUGCCCAAAGUUUGAUUUCUCGCAGACCAGGAGGACCCAUUGGACCCCCGGGCUGGCUGCAGGGCCCACACCUGGGUUAGACCUCGCACAGGGACGCUGCUGCCACUGUAAUAAAGCGUGCCUACACGCUUCUGAAACUGGUGUAGGAACAACCUCAGUUCUGUGAAAGGCGGACGCAGCAGGACAGAAUCUCCGUGGACAUCUGUCUGGAGGAGCAAUUUUACUGCGACAUUUUAAAGAAACAAAUUUAAUUGAUUUCCAAGGGUGUCCAUCGCGCUUCCUUCACUGCCUUGAUCAUGUCGGGGUCACCACCUGCGGGGGUUUGUCCUGCAGACCCUGACUCAACGACGGAUGAAUAAUGUACACUGACACAGAUCUUAUGCUUGUCAGUCCUGCUGAGCAUCCAGGCCACUUACAGACUCCAAGAAGAGUCCUGUCAGCCACGGCUCUGACUUGUUGGCCCUCCCGGCAUUUAUUUAGCACACAUUUAAUGACAGAAGUCUCAGGCUGGAAACACUCUUUUUGUAGAACAUACAAAUGGACAUUUCUAAGCACAUUGAGGCCUAUAAUGAAAAAUCAAAUAUCCCACAAUGAAAACUAGAAGGAAGCUAUCUGUGAUAAUGCUUUGUGGUGUAUGGAUUCAUCUCACUGACUGAAACCUGAGUUUUGAUUCACCAGGUUGGAAACCUUCUUUUUGUAAAACCUACAGUGGGACAUUU
rnacentral:lncRNA from 10 species